rnacentral:rRNA from 1 species
GAAUAUUGGACAAUCGGGGGAACCCUGAUCCAGCCAUGCCGCGUGUGUGAAGAAGGCCUUUUGGCUGUAAAGCACUUAAAGCGAGGUGGAUGCUAUUCUCGGUAAUCCCACAAGAUAGUGAGCGUUACUCUCAGCAUUAGCACCGGCCAACUCUGUGCCACCAGCCGCGGUAAUACAGAGGGUGCAAGCGUUAAUCGGAUUUACUGGGCGUAAAGCGCGCGUAGGUGGCCAAUUAAGUCAAAUGUGAAAUCCCCGAGCUUAACUUGGGAAUUGCAUUCGAUACUGGUUGGCUAGAGUAUGGGAGAGGAUGGUAGAAUUCCAGGUGUAGCGGUGAAAUGCGUAGAGAUCUGGAGGAAUACCGAUGGCGAAGGCAGCCAUCUGGCCUAAUACUGACACUGAGGUGCGAAAGCAUGGGGAGCAAAC